rnacentral:ncRNA from 1 species
GCAACAGCGAUGAAGGGAAGAAGUAUCCGGCCGAUGACGCCUGCAAAGAGAACCCCUGGACGGUGAGAAGGGGAGAGGCGGCGGCAGGAGAAUACAUCCCGGAGCAGCCUUCUGAACGGUCUCUCCUAUUAGGAAUGUGUCGGGUUCGCCCGUUACAGCGAUAGGGUGUUGCUGCACCCGAUGAGGCCGCAUGCCGUGAGGCGGCGGCGAAGCUGAGGUGGUACCGCGAUUUACGUCGCCCUCUGU